UGUAAAAAAUUUCAUCCUUUUAUACUAUUAAAAACUGGAAUGACUAACAGAAUAACAAGGCAGUGAUGCUCGGUAUAUCUCAUGUUGAUGUACAUGGACCGACUUUUAAUAGUAGAAAUGGAUGAAAUUUUUAACA
rfam:Gossypium hirsutum cultivar TM-1 chromosome 5, whole genome shotgun sequence